CUUCAUCACAUUGAAUUGGUCUGAGUACAUUGUCCUUGUUCCCCAUGGUCCUGCAACGUAAAACUAAGUUUUAGAGAAAUAAAAUGUUUUUAUAUUGCAGUAAAGUUUUAGACUUUACAAAAACAGAUUUUUAUAAAAUUAGAAUAUGGGUAGAGGAGUCAUUAUCAGACUGGAGCAAUUUAAAUGGAGUCCAAGAGAAAUGGGAUUAUUUAAAAGUUGCACUAUUGAAGGCAACAGAAAAUUGCAUUAGGCUUAUCAGUAAAAGCCAAAAAUUCAAGAAACCACUGUGGAUGUGGCCAAAAUAGUAAAAAAACAAAAAGUUAGCGUUUAGUAGUUUAUAAAAAAAAAAAAACAGCGUGAGGAAGACAGAAUGAUCUAUAAGAUUAGGCAGAAAGAGGCUAAGCAAGUUAUAAGAGCUUCCAAAUCAAACACAGAGGAGAAAAUAGCACAGUCCUUCAGUAGUGGGGAAAGUAAUGGAAACCAUGUUAAAGGAUAGGAUUGCUGAACAUUUAAAAACACAUGGAUUUCAAGAUCAGAGACAACGUGGGUUUACUUCAGGGAGACCAUGGCGAACUAAUCUUAUUUAUUUUUUUGAUUGGGUAACUAAAAUAAUCAUGGUGGCGCAGUAGACAUUGCUUACCUAUAUUUCAGUAAGGCUUUUGACACUUGCACGUAGAAUGCUUAUCAAUAAAUUGCAAUCUUUAAGUUUGGAUUCUAAUAUUGUUGAAUGGGUAAGGCAGU